rnacentral:lncRNA from 1 species
CACAUACUUAGUUUUUAUUUGCACCCUUCCCCUGACUAGUGAGUGAGAAAGGUUGUGCGUGCGUGUGUGUGUGUGUGUGUGUGUGUAUUUUCCUUUGUGGCUACAUUUUUGGUUUGCUUCCACUUAUUUCAUGCUUGCUGCCUAGAAGAAAUGGAUGGAUGGGUUUUGAUCAGGGGAAAGGCAGUUUGCCCAUUAUCUGCCCAUGAAGGGCUUACCAGUGGGUAGGCCACCCAGGAGCUCAGCUUGUCUUGUCAACAUACCGAUGUAGCAAAAUCGAUGUGUUUGGAGCUGGAAUUAUUUUUCACAGUCUUGUUUGGGCCAGGUCUUGGUCUAUGCUAUGCCUUAUAUAAUGUACAUCAUGAACCUUCACUGGAAAAGAAGCCUGGCACUGGAGGAGUGGCACCUCUGCCCAAACAAGCGAGGAAGCAGACUCUCACUGGAGGAUCAGUGCCAGCCUGGGUACGAGUGACAGCUCUGAACUAGAGGAGCAGCACCCUUCCUCCAUGUGAGUGGACAAACUGCAGCUGGAGGAGUGAGGCCCCGGCUCCAGAGGAGCACGGGAGAGAGGAGCAGGGGCAAGGAAUAACCAACCAUCACCAUCCUGGACAAGGACAACACCUGGGCAGAAACAGGAGCAACCAGACCCUAUGACUGAGGACAAAAAAUGGCAGAUCUGGAAUUCCUGGGGCCACAUUCCAGGGACUGGACACCGGCUGCUUCCUGAGGAUGCGGGUGGAGGAGCUUCUGACUUCACAGCCCCUGCAGGCCCUGAUGUCCAGUUCUACCCACAGACAGGACAGGACUGUUGUAGCCUUCAUGCCUGGUCUAAGCAGCCUCUCAGGAACCCCCUGAGCCCUGGAGUCCACACAACUCCAAAGCAGCUCAGUUAGGGGAGAGUCAGGGACCCCCAAAUGCUAAGUACCCAGACAUUCUUCAGACCUCUACAUAAUUCAGGCUUAAAAAUGACCUAGGUUGAGUCUGCUGUCAUGUUUUUGGGAUGAAGAUGAAAAGAGAAGUGAAAGUGUCUAAAGAGAAGAGCUCUUCCAUUUCUUGCACUGCUGAACUUGUGAAGAUUCCUAUCCUGUUCAUAAGUAGGAGACCAAGAAGUGGAGAGAGAGGAGAGAGGAAGUAAAAAGAAUCAAGCUGUGUUCUGUACAUCUACCAACUACCCAUGAUGAAUGUAGUCACUAUAUAUUGCAC